UACGUAGGGGGCAAGCGUUGUCCGGAUUUACUGGGCGUAAAGAGCGCGUAGGCGGAAGUUUAAGCGGUGCCUGAAAGCCCCCGGCUCAACCGGGGAGGGUGGUGCCGAACUGGGCUUCUUGAGGGCGAUAGAGGAGAGUGGAAUUCCGGGUGUAGCGGUGAAAUGCGUAGAGAUCCGGAGGAACACCAGUGGCGAAGGCGGCUCACUGGCCCGGUACUGACGCUGAGGUGCGAAAGCGUGGGGAGCAAACAGG
rnacentral:rRNA from 1 species